rnacentral:misc_RNA from 1 species
UUUCCGUAGGUGAACCUGCGGAAGGAUCAUUAAUGAAUUACCGAGUUGUGAUGGCCGUCCCUGUCCCGAGAGGUCGUGCACGCCCGAGUGACCUCACCCACACCCAUCUUAUCCCUCUGUGAACCACCGAGUGGGAUCCCGCUUGGUAUGUUCGGAUGGGGGCUUACGUUUUUACUCAUACUUUCUAUGCAGUGCUGAAUGAAUUUUUUGUUGUUGCGAUCCUGUAAUCAAUACAACUUUUAACACCGGAUCUCUUGUCUCUCGCAUCUAUGAAGAACA